rnacentral:snRNA from 1 species
CUCGCGUCUCUUGGACAGCUAUG